UGGAUUCAUUGUGUUCGUAGUGGGUGCUGGUGGGGGAGCACCCGUCUGGCGUGUGCUUACUCUAUCCCCAAAGGGCCUCCCAUGUCUAUCAACCCUUGCCUUGAAGACAAAGUGGUGAUUUCUUCAUCACGUUUCUGUGGGCAGUUUCUUCUGGAGUGCAAGAGCGAGAAGCAGUGUGAACAGUGUUCAUGGUUCUCAAGGGUUCCCAAUUCCUGGCCUACCCUGCAGACCAUGUCAUCUUGCCAAUAGUGGAGCGGGAGACCUUUGAUUCUGAUCCAGAAAGGGAUCAUGGAUGGAAAGGAGUUGGAUAUCACCGGUUCCCACCUCUGGAGUAUGACCAUCCAGUAAGCAAAGUGGUUCCAUUUACGCGGGAGGGCUGGGAUGAGGGCCCACAUCUUCUGUUCAUGCGGGUUGGUAAGCCGUCCGAUCAGAGUGAGGGCAUUGUCUUUGAUUAGCGCUGAGUGGAUUGUUAGUAACCCCGCUGCUGGAGGAGUUAGGAGUCGACUCCUAGCACCCGUAAACUAUGGUUGAGAUGCUCUAAAGCUUAAGAUACUUGAAAGUUUCAGCUUGUGGAUAUGAUUCUGGAUCGAGAUUGUGGUUUGUAUGAGGAUGGAAGGAACUUCUCGGAGGAUGCUACUUCGAGAUAAGG